AUAUAAUUACUAAUAGGAACAAGUUAUAUGUUUAUUUCAGCAUGGAAUAAAUCUAUUACUUGUUCCUUUGCAGCCUACGCAUGCUGACGCAGCUACCCACCUGAACUGUAAUUACUGAUAGUAAAGGACAAUCACCGCCAUUUAGUCAGCGGCUACAUCACCCUCCAACUCACAGCUGACAACCCAUCAAAGGUAAGCAGGUGUGAGCCUGGUCAGUACCUGGAUGGAGACCUCAUGGGAAAACUGAGGUUGUUGCUGGAAAAUGUAUUACUGGGACCAGUAGGGUGGGGGGUCACCCUGCAGUCUGUGUGGGUCCUAAUGACCCAGUAUAGUGACAGGGACACUAUACUGUAGAAAAAGGUGCCAUCCUUUGGAUAAGAUGUAAAACCAAGGGUGUUUCUUAAAAGCGAAACACUGGUGACCUGGUCAAAUGUCCUCCCUGGCCUCUACCCCAUCAUGGCCUCCUAAUAAUCUCCAUCUAUGAAUCGGCUUCAUUUCUUUUCUUCUCUUCCCCACUGAUAGCUGAUGUGUGGUGAGCGUACUGGAGCACUAUGGCCGCCGUCGCAUCAUCCAGUUGAGUGCGGCACGUAGUGGUGGAGGGGGGUCCCUGUUACCCGUAAAGUCAUUUGAGUGGAGUUUGCAGAAUAGUGCUAUGUGAGUAUAAGGAACUUAUUCUUAUUUGCCAGUCCAAUUUGAAGAACAUGAAAAGUUUAGAAGAGCUGCUCUGCCUAAUUGCAACACCAUGUUGUUGUUUUCUGUUUUGUUCAUUAUGAUAAACUAAAAAUGCAACCCUGUAACGAUACCAAAACUAGUUUUACAAAAUUCACAACAGAAAUUUAGAGUGUAUUGAAAAUAAAUAAUAAUCACAAGUUCUUUAACUUUAUGCUGUGGUGAUGGUGUCUCUUCAAUAACUAAACCUAAGGAUGCACAAGACAUUGACUUGCCUUAGUGUUCUAUCCUCCCCACAACCCCUUCCCUCCUCUUCAUUUCUCCUUCACUUAUUAUUGCUAGACUUCCAGUCACAGGAGUUAACGGUCUCAGAAAGUGGACAGUCAAUCAGAGGCUUCCAGUUAGGCAGCAAAUUUAACUUUCCAGUCUGCAAACAAAACAUCAGACAUGGAUUUUCCAGUGAGCUGGAUUCUAACCUGGACAAUGGGAUCAAGGCAGGAUACUCCAGGGGUACUCUGACGUACACAGUGAACACCUCUGAAAUGCCAAUUUACAAAAACAGGUGUGAGAGGGAACCAGAGCACCUGGAGAAAACAUAAAAAGACCAAGCUGAAAUCCAACCCAUGACCUAAGAAUUGUAAGACAGCAGUGCUAACUGCCACACCACUAUGCACAAUUGAUUUAUAUAUACUGUAUGUCCACCCUUUUUGGAAUUGCCAAUUGUUAUAAUAAUUUAACCUUCUGGUAACAUUUCUUGAUCUACACCUGCACAGGGAAAAUGAGGGUCUGAUGCACUGCUUCUAUACAGUAUGUGCUAUUCAACUUUGAACAAGGUACAAGCUCUUCAUGAGAGAGUUAGCACCAACCGAAGGAGCAGUGCAUUUCUCACCGAUGUCACUGGAAGGCUGCAAUUGUACCACAAAACAAGAUAGUGCUGUUAUACCAAGAUUACCCUUGCUUAUCCAUGCCCAGCCUACACAAGCAAUAUUCCGCCAGUAUGCUGUUGCUUGGGAAUCGCAGUCAGCUAAAAAUGUGUGGUUUAGAGACAUAAUACAGACAAAUACAUGCUAUCUCUGUUGUAAUGAAAAAUUGAAUACAGUUAUUAUCAUAAACAACAAAUAUGUUGUGUGAAAGUAAACUAAUCUGAAAUGCACCGAUAAUUAUAAUAAUAAAAGGAGACAAAGCCUAAAAUAUCCCUUAAGUGAAAUUACUGCACUUUUUGGGUCCUAGUUUUGUAAGAUUAGAAAAUGUUAAAGGUUGGUAAAAGUUGGCAAGAGACAAAGACCAAAGAAAUCACGAACUUAAAGGGUCUGAAACCGUUUCUAUUCUGACACUGUGCAAUAUAUUAAUAAAUAUAAUAUCCUCUACUCACUUCCAAGAAUCGGUCUUUAAAUUGCAACUGUAAUCUUUGAAUUUGUAUUUUUUUCCUAUUUUGUUUUGUAAAUUGACAUAAAUCUGGAAAAAAAAUGCCAAAGACAAAAGCAUAGAAAGUGGAAAGUGUUACUCUGUUUAUCUCUCUGCUUAAGAAGUUCCAGUAUGUACAGCUUCCAAUCAGGAAAGCAGGGGCUGGAGUUAAAUCUAUCAACCCUGCCUGUUACAGCUUAUAAACCUAGGACUUGAUGUUAGUGGUAGUGACAAGUUUCUGGCCAAAAAUAAUAAUAUUCUUUUGUUAAAUGUUUAUGAUUAGCAGUGGAUGUCAUCUGGACCUAGCGAUUUUGAUGUCAUCUGGACCUUUGUCUAUAUUAACAAUAAAAAUCGAGUUUAAUAGAAUUUAUCCUCACUGUCAGUUCUUAAUAUACCAUUAUUUUGGGGGCAGUUUUACAUUUGUAGCAAAAGACACCGACACAUUGUACUUGCA
rnacentral:lncRNA from 1 species